AUUGAACGCUGGCGGCAGGCCUAACACAUGCAAGUCGAGCGAGCGGCGGACGGGUGAGUAAUGUAUGGGGAUCUGCCUGAUGGCGGGGGAUAACUACUGGAAACGGUAGCUAAUACCGCAUACCAUCAGAUGAACCCAUAUGGGAUUAGCUAGUAGGUGGGGUAAUGGCUCACCUAGGCGACGAUCCCUAGCUGGUCUGAGAGGAUGACCAGCCACACUGGAACAGAGACACGGUCCAGACUCCUACGGGAGUCAGCAGUGGGGAAUAUUGCACAAUGGGAGAAAUCCGGAUGCAGCCAUGCCGCGUGUGUGAAGAAGGCUUUCGGGUUGUAAAGCACUUUCAGCGAGGAGGCGUUACCGACAGAAGAAGCACCGGCUAACUCCGUGCCAGCAGCCGCGGUAAUAC
rnacentral:rRNA from 1 species